rfam:Haemonchus contortus, ISE/inbred ISE, WGS project CAVP01000000 data, contig: Hcontortus_22455
GGCACAAACUCGGAGUAGUGUAGUUUAGUAGGGUCGGCUGACCCUUUUAAUCUACUCUAUUUCAAAUUUGAGCCC